rnacentral:siRNA from 1 species
UAGCUCAAAAAUCUAGACGUUA